rnacentral:lncRNA from 1 species
AUCCUUUGAGGGUUAGGGUCGAGGGAAGAGGAAGUGUUGGCAGUUAAUCCAAGUUAGAAGGUAAUGUCAUAACCCACGGAAUCUCCAGGAGACGACAGGAAAUCACUUUCAAGGUAAACAAAGGGGCCUGAGUUAGCUUUUAGAGGCGGAUAGCAAAGCCUCAAACAUUUUGAAGGAUAAGAUAAAAAGUCUUGGAAGCUAUAAAGACACAGAAAACGAAGGAACAAAGAAAACACUCCUUCAAAAACCGAAACGUGAUCUUCUCAAAGUCGGCUAGAGAAUCUGCAAAGGAAUCUUGGAGGUGGGAAGUCAUGCAUUUUUAAUCUCACCAUUCUCUCGGCUUCUCUGCUUACACCUGGUGAACGAAAAUAGAGUAGGAAGGAAGAUAGGACAUUCACCCCGCUUCGUUUUGGAAUUUCAGAGAGCAAAGUCACUUGAUUUGCCAGCGCUGUGCAGGACUACAUCCUUGCACCCAUUCAAUAGGAGCCCACCUAAAGUCACCGUUUGGGGAAGUGGAGUAGCCAGGGUGGGGUGGAGAAGCUUUGUUAGUGCAGAUGUUGCUGCUGAGUCCUCCCUAGGGUUUGGGCUGUGGUAAAAUGGUGCUUAAAGGGCUCACCACAAAGUGCUACUACUUUGCCUGCUCUGGCUUCUUUUAAUGUUCGUAGUUUCUUUUCUAUCCUCCGAUGAACAAGCGUGUGAGAUACCUGAGAGCAGAGACGCCAUCAAAAUUGUUCUCUUCUGACUCUUAUGGACAUGAAGGCCCCAUGGCUGGUUCAGGGAACCCACUCCAUAGAGCGGUUUAGCAUGUGCAAAUAGUGUCUUCACUAUCGAUUGUUAGUGAAAAUUAUAUUCCCUUACUUGUCGCCCAAUGGAAUGUUCUAGAAACUGCCUAUGUGCGGGAAUGUAGCAGGGGUCAGACAAUAAGAAACAAGGGAAUCCAUUUGAUUUUGGAUGGAGGAACACUUCAGUCAUCCAGGAGUAAGUGGUAUCUGGCUCUCAGAUGAGAGGCACCAUCUUUGGAAGGGGAAGCAUCUGAGUGAACAUGAUAUAUACUGCAUGAUACCUCACACCUUCCAAGUGAAAAUCUUAUGUUUGCUCAUCUAAUACCUCCAAGAGAGGGAAGCCAUAGUCUACAGCUAUACAUCAUAGAAAUGGCCACUGUGUGCACCAUGUGUGUCCAUGCGUGCAUUUGAGUGUGUGUGUGUGUGUGUGUGUGCGUGUGUGUGUGUAUUGUUUAGUUGGAGGAGCUAUCAGGAAGGGCUACUUGUGGACUCACAUCAGAACCCAGGUCCCCUUAUGCUCUUUGGUUCAAGCUCUUCUCCCUAAUUGUGGGGGUGCUGGAAGUUGACAUUUCCCUCUGGUGUACAACCUCAUGGUGGUAAGAUAAGAGUGAGAAUUUGAAAGAAUAGCUUCAUGGAAGAUGGGGGAACAUGUUGUUUGCGAGAUGGGACAAGGGUCAGACAUCAUGGUGAACAACUAGAAGUUGAAAGACAAUGCGACUGGAGCGCAAAUCAGACCGGUGGCCAGAGACCCUGAAAAUAGGAAUCUGGUUCUGUGUUUUUCCUCUCCUUUCUCUUUUCCUCUAAAGAAUGUGUCCAAGGAGCUGAGCCACUGAGAAGCAGGGGCCAUUUAAGGACAUUUUCUUUACAAAUAUGAGAGACCAGCCAUGAAGUGCUGGCAGGGGCAGGAUGGGUGGGGUGUGUGUAAGAAUCCCAGAAUCCUUCCCUCUGCUGCGUGGCAGGCACAGACUGUAGACACACAGAGGCCCUCCUGCUUCCAUGCCACAAGACACAGGAGGGGAAGAUGUCUACAGACCCACCUACUACCAUGCCACAGGGGCAGGUUGAAAACACUUACAAGGUCCGCUUGCUGUCACCCCCCCACCCCCUACCUCACAUGGACAGAGGAGUUCAUCCAGAGGCCUGCAAGCCACAUGUUCACCUGCAGUGGGAGCUACAAGAUGCAAAUAUGUGGUGGACAGAUGGGAGAGAAAGAAAGCUGAACAGUUUGAACAUUAUAAAAAAGGUGGAACUGGAGAUACGACGGUGGAGAGGAAUAGUCUGCUAUGAGUAACUAGGCCCUGUUGCCUGAGGCCAUGAUGAAGCCUGUGCUGCCUCAGAGGGCCACACUAGGGUCCAGGGCUAUCCAGUGGUUCAUAUUACCAUUAGAGACCAUAGGGAAGUCCCUGGUCUGGGCACUACAUGAUGCCCAAGGUUUGGGCAGAACUGGCCCCACCUCUCACUGGUUUCUGCACACUGAGGAACUGUCCUUACAUCUCACUGGGCAGCACAAUGGUGCUGACUCUGGAGGUGUAGGUGAGCCAAUCCCAAGGGCAUGAGUGCUGGCCCUGCCUCUUGCUAAUGGCAACAUUGGGUGGCCACCAGAACAGGGCAGGAGUGCUAGCCCUAAUGCUACAGAUGCGGGAGAGCCAGGAGGCAGAUCAGCUCAGGUACCACACAGGCCCAGACCCAGAGCUUUGAGUCAGCCCACUCCAAGAUCUACAUCAUCUGUGAACUGUUGGAACACAUGAUAGGGUGUGCCCGGCUGAUCCAAAGCUGCAGGAUCUCUGAGACACAGGGCAACAAUAGGAUAACCAGGAAGAGUUCCAGUGAGGAUCCAGUACUGAAGGUGUUACAGAAGCCAGCAAUCUCGAACCAGAUCAAUGACUCAUUGCAAUGAAGAUUUGCAAGUGAAGAUGUAUGGACAGCGGGAUAUCCUGUGGGACACAUUGUGACACACAACAGCUUCCACAACAAAAUGUAUUCUCUGAUGUUUGUUUUGUUUAUUUGCUUGUGUGCUUUUAUUUUCUUUGGGAGGGAGGUUGCAAGGGUGGAGGGUGGAUAUGAGGGGGUAGGGAGAUGAGUGGGACCGGAGUGCAUGAUGGGAAAGUCACAAAGAAUCAAUAGAAAGUUAAAAAGUAUAUGAGACCAAGGGAGGUUACACAUCUAUCAUGUUUUUCUUUGGAGGCUGUCAUUGUUUCCUAUGAUAGAGAGCCAAGCUUUAUCCUGAUAAAGCAUUUAUGUGAUAGAAAAGUCAAGUCGUCAGGUCCCCAGUGUGACUCUACUUGGCACAAGAUAUGGUGUGGCUUUCUGUGUCUCUGGAAGGCUUGAUUUUUAACAGAGUCCACUUAUAGACAGUGGCGUACAUAUAAACAUACUGGAGCACUGAAAUGAUGGUUUGAUCAAUGGCAGACUGUAUAUUCCAUAUAGUUCAGGUGUAUCAUAGGUUCUACCAUUUGAAUAUGUGUAGUUUGUGUCAAUAUCCUCUGAAUACUUAUACUGCAACAAUAUCAUUGGAUGAUGAAUUGUCUCUUAGAAUGUGCCCUGUCAUUAAGUAAUAUUUAUUUAUAGUUAUGUGACAAAGCUAAAGUUACUGUGUAAACAAAUAGCCAUGGUGUUUGGGGAGGUGGGAAAAAUGUGUCUCCAUUCUCAUCCAAGCAAAAACCGAAGAACCAUGCAGAUGAGUUGUAAUUUCUUUUCCCUACACUUUAUCCCAGAUGGAGUCCUAGCAGGAACAUGUAGGGGCCUCAUGUGUCUAAGGACAGGUAGGAUAGUGGUUAUAUAAGAACAAGUUUGAUUUAAACAUUAUACAUACAUGUGUGUGUGUGUAUCUGCUCUUGUGUAUAUACACACACACACAUAUACACACAAACACAUACACAUAUAUAUGUAUACACACACACAUAUAUAUAGUGUUGGUGGCCAAGGUAUUUACAUAUCUGGUAGUACCUCGAUCACUGAGCUAUAUUGCUAUCCCUGAACUUGUAUUUUUGAGAGUUCUAUGUCACGUUAACCUAUUAAUAAAUUGACUUCAG